rnacentral:rRNA from 1 species
UACGUAGGAUGCAAGCGUUGUCCGGAAUUAUUGGGCGUAAAGCGCACGUAGGCGGUUUCUUAAGAUUGGUCUUAAAGACCGGGGCUCAACCCCGGGAAUGGAUCGAUAACUGGGAGACUGGAGGACGUCAGAGGAAAGUGGAAUUCCGAGUGUAGCGGUGAAAUGCGUAGAUAUUCGGAGGAACACCAGUGGCGAAAGCGACUUUCUAGGACGUUCCUGACGCUGAGGUUCGAAAGCUCGGGGAGCAAACAGG